UUACUUCACAUUAAGGCAGUACACACAGUAAAACUGGAACAAUACAGAGAAGAUUAUCAUGUCCCCAGGGCAAAGGAUGACAUGCAAAUUUGUGAAAUGACCCAUAUUUUA